AAAGUACUCCCUCCGUCCCAAAAUUCUUGUCUUAGAUUUGUCUAGAUACGGAUGUAUCAAGUCACAUUUUAGUAUUAGAUACAUCUGUAUCUAGACAAAUCUAAGACAAGAA
rnacentral:pre_miRNA from 1 species